GGGGAUUUAGCUCAGCGGUAGAGCACUUGCCUAGCAAGCGCAAGGCCAUGGGUUCAGUCCCCA
rnacentral:tRNA from 1 species